rnacentral:rRNA from 1 species
AUGACGCUGGCGGCAGGCUUACCACAUGCAAGUCGAGCGGUAGCACAGGGGAGCUUGCUCCCUGGGUGACGAGCGGCGGACGGGUGAGUAAUGUCUGGGAAACUGCCUGAUGGAGGGGGAUAACUACUGGAAACGGUAGCUAAUACCGCAUAACGUCGCAAGACCAAAGAGGGGGACCUUCGGGCCUCUUGCCAUCAGAUGUGCCCAGAUGGGAUUAGCUAGUAGGUGGGGUAAUGGCUCACCUAGGCGACGAUCCCUAGCUGGUCUGAGAGGAUGACCAGCCACACUGGAACUGAGACACGGUCCAGACUCCUACGGGAGGCAGCAGUGGGGAAUAUUGCACAAUGGGCGCAAGCCUGAUGCAGCCAUGCCGCGUGUGUGAAGAAGGCCUUCGGGUUGUAAAGCACUUUCAGCGAGGAGGAAGGUGGUGAACUUAAUACGUUCAUCAAUUGACGUUACUCGCAGAAGAAGCACCGGCUAACUCCGUGCCAGCAGCGGCGGUAAUACGGAGGGUGCAAGCGUUAAUCGCAAUUACUGGGCGUAAAGCGCACGCAGGCGGUUUGUUAACUCAGAUGUGAAUCCCCGGCUCACCUGGGGACUGCAUUUGGAAGCUGGCAAGCUAGAGUCUCUAAAGGGGGGUACAAUUCCCGGUGUACGG